GUCAGCAGCCAUAUCAACUGCAGUUCAGACUAAGUAAUCCUUCUGAAGGUAAGCAGGUUUGGGCCAGGCCAGUACUUGGAUGGGAGACCAACUAGGAAAGCCAGGUUGCUGUUGGAA
rnacentral:rRNA from 1 species